UNGGACGUGUCGCUCCCUGAUUGGCUGCAGCC
rnacentral:piRNA from 1 species